AAUGAACGCUGGCGGCAGGCCUAAAACAUGCAAGUCGAACGCCCUAGCAAUAGGGAGUGGCGCACGGGUGCGUAACACGUGGGAAUAUGCCUUUUGGUACGGAACAACGUCUGGAAACGGACGCUAAUACCGUAUGGUCCCUUCGGGGUAAAGAUUUAUCGCCAAAAGAGUAGCCCGCGCUGGAUUAGCUAGUUGGUGAGGUAAUGGCUCACCAAGGCGACGAUCCAUAGCUGGUCUGAGAGGACGAUCAGCCACACUGGGACUGAGACACGGCCCAGACUCCUACGGGAGGCAGCAGUUAGGAAUAUUGGACAAUGGGCGCAAGCCUGAUCCAGCCAUGCCGCGUGAGCGAUGAAGGCCUUCGGGUUGUAAAGCUCUUUAGCCGAUGAUUAUAAUGACUGUAGUCGGAAAAUAAGCCCCGGCUAACUUCGUGCCAGCCGCCGCAGUAA
rnacentral:rRNA from 1 species